rnacentral:rRNA from 1 species
AUGAACGCUGGCGGCGUGCCUAAUACCUGCAAGUCGAGCGAACAGACGAGGAGCUUGCUCCUCUGACGUUAGCGGCGGACGGGUGAGUAACACAUGGAUAACCUACCUAUAAGACUGGGAUAACUUCGGGAAACCGGAGCUAAUACCGGAUAAUAUAUUGAACCGCAUGGUUCAAUAGUGAAAGACGGUUUUGCUGUCACUUAUAGAUGGAUCCGCGCCGCAUUAGCUAGUUGGUAAGGUAACGGCUUACCAAGGCGACGAUGCGUAGCCGACCUGAGAGGGUGAUCGGCCACACUGGAACUGAGACACGGUCCAGACUCCUACGGGAGGCAGCAGUAGGGAAUCUUCCGCAAUGGGCGAAAGCCUGACGGAGCAACGCCGCGUGAGUGAUGAAGGUCUUCGGAUCGUAAAACUCUGUUAUUAGGGAAGAACAAAUGUGUAAGUAACUAUGCACGUCUUGACGGUACCUAAUCAGAAAGCCACGGCUAACUACGUG